GGAGGGCGCAAUGCUGCGGUUUUAGCAGGCACUAAUGGAGCAUUUCACCAUAGGGACAUUGGUGGUAUGCCCCAAGCUACAUACCCUAUGGAAUACAUGAGGGAUGCAUGGAUUAGUCAGAGAGACAAAUAUAUGAAUAUGAUACCUACAAAUCAUAACUAUGGUGGUAUUCCGGAGACAUCUUCAGCACAUCAAAUUCAAAUGAUUCAAGCUCCGGAAUUGCCAAAGGAAGAAAAGCCAGUGGAAGAAGCACCUGUCGUCGAGAAGGCAAACGGAACUCGUAAGAAAAGACAGGGGCCCAAGGUUCCCAAAUCUCCCAGGGCUAAGAAGCCAAAGAUGGGGCCUCGUGCACCAAAGGAUGAGAAUGCUCCCUCAGUUCAACGUGCAAGGGUUCCAAAGAAAACUACUGAAAUUGUAAUAAACGGAAUUGAUAUGGAUAUUUCUAGUAUUCCAGUUCCUGUUUGUUCAUGCACUGGAGUGCACCAACAGUGUUAUAAAUGGGGCUCUGGCGGUUGGCAGUCUGCAUGUUGCACGACAGGGAUGUCAGUGUAUCCUUUGCCUAUGAGUACCAAGCGGCGUGGUGCUAGGAUAGCUGGAAGGAAAAUGAGUAUAGGAGCAUUUAAGAAAGUGUUAGAGAAACUUGCAGCUGAGGGUUAUAACUUUUCUAAUCCGAUUGAUUUGAGGACUUAUUGGGCAAAACAUGGCACCAACAAGUUUGUCACCAUUAGGUAGGUCUAUUCUAUUGUCAACUGGCUUCAUGUUCCUUUCUGCCUGUUUGUCAUGUAUAUAUUUAUUUGUGUAUUUGGCCUGAGACUGAGGCUUCUUAGAUGGUUUGUAGUACAACAAUUUUCAAAGUCACAAGACAUUUCCUGUUCUCCUCUAACUCUUCCUAUGUUGUUAUCUUCACUUCUUUGGAUUUAGUACUUGGGAAUUCAAUCAUUUGGUUAAUUGGUUGGUUCUGAUAGGGAACUAGCGGAUGGCAUUUUGUUUUAUUAAUAUUUAGAAGUAAAAUUUUAUCCAUUCAUGAAACUACUGGUGUUUGAACAUUACAUCGAUUUCCUUUUUACUUCCAACUAAAUAUGAGUGCUGUUGUUUAGCAUUAUACUCCAUUCUCUUCUCUGUUGUGUAAUUAAGAUAUGCCUAUUUUAAUGACCUGUGAAGGCUGGGUUGUACUUGGAAACACCACCCACAUGCACACACACCAUUAGUUGCAAUGUGUUUCUAGAUGGUCUGAUUGCAUGAAUGAUUCAUCUUGUCUUUGAAGAAAUUGACAGGUUUGAAUUGGUAAAAGCAAUAUUUAGUGUUCUUUCAAAAUAUUUUCCCCUUAUACUGUUUUUCUUUCUAUAAUGAAUAACACUACUCUGCUUCCGAGCAUUGUUAGUUCAGCGAUUUAAUUGCUGAAUCAUUUAGCAGUUCAGUUUUUAGAGAAGCAGGUUUAUCGAACAUCGAGUGAAGGUAAGAUGGUUGUGAAUUGUCAUUGUGGUAGAACUUUUUAUGCAUCCCUGAUAAUUGAAUAAAAAUGAAAAUUGAGUGAAGGUAAGAUGGUUGUGAAUUGUCAUUGUGGUAGAAUUUUUUAUGCAUCCCUGAUUAUUGAAUAAAAAUGAAAAAUUAAGAAAAUCAUGGCUUGUAUUAGCAAGUUAAAAGCAUUUUUAUGCAUGCUUUAUGCUCUUUGACAAGUUGUUAGAAUAGUGGAGUCGGUUCCAACUAAGUAUGAAAAAAAUUGUGGCCUGUUACUGUUACAUGAAAAUAGUAAUAUUAUGAGUCUAAUCUAUGAAUGUGAAAUUUGAUGUUAGAGGUACAUGGUCUCACUUUUGGUUGUCAAUAAACCAGAAAAAAAAAGAAGAGAAAUUGUAGGUUGACAUGUUCCUCAAAUAGGAAGUUGAGAAAGAAUGUAGUAGGGCAAGUAAAAGGCUGGGUUGAAAGGGAAUGAAAUGAUGCAGCAUAGAGUAGACAAGUGAGGAAUGUAACAAUCUCUAUGUAGACUCUUGCCAGAGUUGUAUGUUGCUGUGCAUAGGCAUUUAUGGUAUUGACAUGUUCCACAUUACUAGUUGGUGAUUGUUAAUAAUGGUUGUCAUAUGUUUCCUUUGCUAGUUUAUAGUAGCAUAUAAAGUUGAGAUAAUGUGCACUUCUGAGAAGUAAAAUAACAUCUUGUAAACACUCAACAUCUUAUAGCAACAGUUUGAAAUCUUAUCACUCACCCGACUUUUUUGUUUUUUUGUUUUAAAAAUAUCUUUGACAGAAAUAUAUUUCUGUUGUGUUAAUUCUUUUAAAAAAAAAUUAACAAUGAGGAAAUGCUGUUACAUUUUUUAUACAACAUAAAGUAUGCAACUAACAGAUGAGAGUCUUUGCUAUUGUAAGGGUGUGUGGUCAAGUGCAGGAUGUUAAAGUAGUAGAAGAUACUGUUUUGUUCAACUUUGGGAAGACUAGCAUGAAAAUUAAAACCUUGAAUAAUAGUACCCAAAUUUUCAUAAAUUAAGUCUGAUAAAUGUAAACCAAGUUUACCUAAAACUCCAUUGUUCCAGGUUUUGAUUUGUGCUAUACCUGAAACGAGGGAUGGUAAAAUACAAGACUUGGUGCCCAUUAGGUUUAACAACAAACUUUUAAUUUCUCAUAUUUAAUUAUACUUAAUCAUCCAAAUUUUGUGGUUUAUAUACUAUUUAACCUAAAAUUUAUGGUUAAGACUUAAUUUCUCGUUUAUAUGUAUUAAAAAAAUUAAUGGUUAAAAUUAAUUUGAGUACAUAUUUAGUUAUACUUUUUUUAGAAGACAUACUUAGUUAUACUUAAUGAUUAAAAAUUGAUUCUUUUUUAAAUAUUUGUUUUGUUUUGCCAAAGAUCUUUUGACAAAUUGUUAACAUAAAUUUUCUUUUUAACAAAAUCUUUUUUUGUGUAAAAGCACUGAAGAUAUUCAUCGUUCUCUUUGUUUUAUAAAGGUUAAAUCAGGACCAUAAAUUGUUUAGAACAAGGGCAAGAUAUAUAUAGCUUGAGAUGUGUCACGAGUAAUGCCUUCCUUUAAGAAUUUAUGUCUUCGAUGAAUUUAAUAUUGCAAAAAUCCUUUAGAAUUUAGCAGGUUUUUAAAAGGAAUGGUCCCAAGUAGAAUGGAAAGAGGAAGAAAAAAAAUAACCGAAAGAGGAAAAUAAUAAUGCUCAGAUGUGAGUCAGUGAGUGUGAUAUUCCAAAAUAAUUUAAACUUUACUGAUAAGGUAUGUGCAUCGUGUGUAUACUGUAUAGGAAGGAAUGCAAAUCUACUGAUUUGAACUAAAAUUUAAGUUAUUGACCAAAAAGAAAAGUAUCACUAAAAUUAACGUUUUCCAAAAAAGAAAAGAAUUAACAACAUACACUUUGGUCCAAUUUCAUACAUGUAAGUUCAAGAAUAGAUAAUGUUGUUUUAAUUUUUUUUACACUGUUAUCGAUUUUUUUAGGAUAAAAUGAUCUAAUUAUAAAUCAUCAUAUCUGUUUAUACUAGUAGUGUCUUUUUUUACUAAGUUGAAUCCUAUGACCAUUUUGUACUGAAAAAUAUCUUCUGACAAAUGUUUUUUUUUUUUUCUGGGGUCCACUCUGCAAAACUUAUUUACAACUCUUUAGCACACUAGUUGACUAAUAAACUCCUCCCCUAAGCAACAUGCCAACGUGGGACUUUAAGACUUUUAAAAUGCACUCAAAACAAAUUUGGGUAGCUUGCUUAAAAUGUAACUAUCAGUCAUCAAAAUAAAUAGAGGAGUAGAAAUUUGUAACGUUGAAUAUGGUACCACUGGCUGGUUUGGAUCAUGAGUCCAGUAAGGCCCACGCACAAAAGGCCCAACCCUCGUUAAUUUUGAACCUCUAAGUUUUCUACAAGUUUCAACACAAAAGGAAAAAGAAUAUAAAAUUUUCCAUACCUAAGUCAUGCCCAAAUUUCCAAACUAGUUUAGAUUUUAAUGUGGUAGUCAAAUAUUGGAAUGUAGGUCAAAAAACAAAAGUUAACUUUCGGAAUUAAUUUUAAAACGAAUUUAUAAGACAACAACAAUCGUGAGCCAUAGAUUCCAUUUAUGUCGCUGAAUUUUGUAAAGUUAUGUUUUAUGUCACUGUCUCAUUUAACUCAUAUUUACUAAUAUUAAAACCGCUUUUCAUACAACAAAAUAUCAACAAACAUACUCUAUGCUAUCCUAUAAAACACACCAAAUUAACACGGCAUUAUAGGUUUUUAUUUUGUUUUUAUCAUUAUACGGCAUUAUAGGUUGAGCUAUCAUUUCACUGAACGUGCAAAAUAAAUGAUUUCUUUGAACUUCGCACAUUUUCAUAUUAAAGUAUAUUGAUAUGGGAUUUUCAGUUUAAUCGUUUUAAAAUAUUAACUAACAUAAAAACUAAAAUACAAUAAAAUUGGGGUCAAGCAUAAAUAUUGGCUUAAUAAAAUGAAACAAAUAAAUUAAACUCAAACAUGUCACAUGUUUAUUUAUUUAAAAUUCUCUCCUCUGAUAAAUUUGUAGGGAUUGAUUUAAUGAGAAACAGCUGUUUGGUAUAUAAAUAAGUAAAAAAAGAAAUAUCUAUAUCUAUAUCUAUAUCUAUAUAUAUAUAUAUAUAUAUAUAUAUAUAUAUAUAUAAUUUUAUUUGAUUUAUGCAUUUGAUAAUCCAAUAAAUGAAAGAAAUAAAUUUUGGUCUUUCAAAACAUCUUUUCAGUUUGAAUAUUCAUAAUAAUAAUAAUAAUUAAUGACUAAUAACUUCUUUUAUAGUUUGUAAAAGUGUUUAAAUUAUCGAUUUACGUUAUCCUAUUCCUUCCUUUCCUUCUUAAAUUAUUUAUCUUGUAAAAUAAGGAUUUCUUAUUGUGCGUCCAAAAAAAUGAAAUAAUAUUUUUAUUGUAGAAAUAUUUAUGAUAUCAAAACAAUUGUCUUUUAAAUAAUUUUAAAUAUUUACUAAGAUGUAUUAAUUAUUUCCUACUAUAUAUAUAUAUAUUAAUUUAAUUUAUGUGUUUAAUUGUCCAUUAAUGAAGGAAAUAAAUUUUGAUCUGUCAACUUCUUUUCACUUUGAACAUUCAUUAUAAAAAUUAAUGAAUAAUAAGUUCAUUUAUCUAUACUUAUUAACAAUAAAAAAAUACCUCCAUUUGUUAUAUACAUUUUACUACACCAUUUUACUCUUUGUUAAUUUUUAAAUUUUUAUUGCUUCUCUCUUAAUAAUUAUCCAUUAUUACUCUCAUGUUGUUAAUAUUUUUUUUUUUUAGUUAAAAUAGGUAAAGAGACCCAAAAUGUCUCUCCACUAGUAGUUUAUAAAAGUAUUUGAAAUAAUGAUUUACAUUAUUAUUUUCAUCUUCAGUUAUUUAGCUUUUAAAGUGAACAUUUCCUAAAUAAAUAGAGAAAUAGUGUAUCUUUUUUUUCUUUAGGCAGAAAUAGUGUAUUUCGAGUGUGGUGUGUACCAAGAAAAUUCAAACAAUUGUGAUCUUUGCAAUUUGCAUAUUUUUAUUUAAAUAAAAUAUUAAAAAAAUAAUUAAUAACAUUAAUAUUUUUAAGGAUUAAAUGUUUUGAAAGCCUAUGAUAAAUGAUAAAAUUUCAUUUUAAAUGUUUGACAUUAAUUAAGUAAUACAUGUUAUCUUAUAAAUUAGUUUUUUAAACAUCAGUAAUAAUGUCACAUUAUCACAUAAUUAAUAACAACACUCAAAAUAACAUUUUUAAUGUAUUAAAAAUUAAAAAUAUUAAGAAUCUAAAAUAAAAUUUGUUCAGUGAAAUUAAAUAUGUUUAAGUUUUUUUUAAGACAAAAAUAUUAGUAUUAGAAUCUCAUAAAUGUUUUUUAUUUUAAUUUUAAUUUUUUAAGAUUAAGAUUAGAUAUUAAGAUAGCGUGCAGACCUCUCUGUUUCCCCUUUUGCUCUCUUCAUUUUCCAUUCGUAGACGCCAAGAACCCUAACAGGUACUGCCCUUCUCGCUCUGCUCAAACAUUCUCUUACCCUCUUAGUUUUUUCUUCGAUAGUUGAAAUGGGUUUUCAUCAAAAUCCUUUUUUUCCUCUCUCUUUUUCUCAUUUCCCCACUUUCAUUUUGACCUUAGAUUUUAAUGAUCUGUUUGGUUUUUUUACAUAAAGAUAUGAUUUUUUCCCACUUUUUUCAUGGUAAAAUGGAUCUUAGAUCAAAACUCAGAAGCUGAAGCCUUUGGGGCAUGAGGUUUUGCAUGUCUACAUUUAUGGGAUUUGUGUAAUUUACCCCCUUUUCUGGUUUGACUUUAUCUGAGCUGAAACAAAGGUAUAGGUCAGAAAAUUGCAUUCUGUUUGUUUUAGUUUUUUUUGUUCUAUUUUUGGUAUUAAACUUUGUAUGAUUUGAAUUGUGUUGGUUUGUUAGGAGAAUGCAAUGGACCUGGAUAAUUUAUGAGGAUAUUUAACAUAGUGUACAUUGUGCUCCUGUAAUUAUUUUCAUCAGUUGGUGUUGUGAUGGAUGGUGAUAAUGGCCUUAACAUACGUAAUUGGGGUUACUAUGAACCCGCCACGUCGUUUAAGAGCCACCUGGGGCUGCAACUGAUGUCAUCCAUGCCGGAAAAACCUCUAAUUGGAGGGCGCAAUGCUGCGGUUUUAGCUGGUACUAAUGGGGCAUUUCACCAUAGGGACAUUGGUGGUAUGCCCCAAGCUACAUACCCUAUGGAAUACAUGAGGGAUGCGUGGAUUAGUCAGAGAGACAAAUAUAUGAAUAUGAUACCUACAAACCAUAAUUAUGGUGGUAUUCCGGAGACAUCUUCAGCACAUCAAAUUCAAAUGAUUCAAGCACCAGAAUUGCCAAAGGAAGAAAAGCCAGUGGAAGAAGCACCUGUCAUCGAGAAGGAAAAUGGAACUCGGAAGAAAAGACAGAGUUCCAAGGUUCCCAAAUCUCCCAAGGCUAAGAAGCCAAAGAGGGGGCCUCGUGCGCCAAAGGAUGAGAGUGCUCCUGCAGUUCAACGUGCAAGGAUUCCGAAGAAA
rnacentral:lncRNA from 1 species